CCUACGGGAGGCAGCAGUAGGGAAUUUUCGGCAAUGGGGGGAACCCUGACCGAGCAACGCCGCGUGAGCGAAGAAGUUAUUCGUAAUGUAAAGUUCUUUUAACAGGGAAGAAAGAGAAAUUUGACGGUAACUGAGGAAUACGCUCCGGCUAACUACGUGCCAGCAGCCGCGGUAAUACGUAGGGAGCGAGCGUUAUCCGGAGUUAUUGGGCGUAAAGGGUGCGUAGAUGUCAUAGUAAGUCUUUUUGAAAAAUGCUGGGCUCAACCCAGUAGUGCAAAGGAUACUGCACAGCUAGAGUAUGACAGAGGUAAGUGGAAUUACAUGUGUAGCGGUAAAAUGCGUAAAUAUAUGUAAGAACACCAGUGGCGAAGGCGGCUUGCUGGGUCGAUACUGACAUUGAGGCACGAAAGCGUGGGGAGCAAACAGGAUUAGAUACCCUGGUAGUC
rnacentral:rRNA from 1 species